CCUACGGGUGGCAGCAGUGAGGAAUAUUGGUCAAUGGUCGGGAGACUGAACCAGCCAAGCCGCGUGAGGGAUGAAGGUACAGAGUAUCGUAAACCUCUUUUGUCAGGGAACAAAGGCGGGGACGUGUCCCCGGAUGAGUGUACCUGAAGAAAAAGCAUCGGCUAACUCCGUGCCAGCAGCCGCGGUAAUACGGAGGAUGCGAGCGUUAUCCGGAUUUAUUGGGUUUAAAGGGUGCGCAGGCGGUCUGUUAAGUCAGCGGUAAAAGCCCGGGGCUCAACCCCGUCCCGCCGUUGAAACUGGGAGUCUCGAGUUGGAGAGAAGUAUGCGGAAUGCGCGGUGUAGCGGUGAAAUGCAUAGAUAUCCCGCAGAACUCCGAUUGCGAAGGCAGCAUGCCGGCUCCACACUGACGCUGAGGCACGAAAGCGUGGGUAUCGAACAGGAUUAGAUACCCGAGUAGUC
rnacentral:rRNA from 1 species